rnacentral:lncRNA from 1 species
GAAAGCAGGCUCCAAUGAUGCUUAGUGGAACGGCAAGUUCCAUCUUCCCUGACAAGACCCAGCUAGGUUUGGCAGAUACUGUACUUCAAACCAGAUCAGACAGCCUGGGGCUCCAGUGUCCGCUUCCUUCUGCUAAAAAUAGAGGAACCACCCCUGCAGCCACGAAAUGCUGAGAGCAGCCGACCCGAUUCACACUGUGCUGCUUUGUGUUAGGCAAAGGGGUCAGGGCUAAGGAAGAGGGAAGAAAGAUUUCUUACACGGACUCCAUUUCCAAGUCUUCUUCUUCCUGAGAAAGUUGUAGGUAGGGGUUAUCUGAAGCCGGACGGAAUUUAUACCCCGUUAGAACAAAGAAGACCAGUGUGGCCGUUUCAUCCAGGAGCUGCAAGUUUAAAAACCACCCCAAAAUAAAGAGAUUAGCAACACUGUUCUUCAGAAAGCAGUGGAAUUCAACAAACUGACAUAUUUCCCCACAACCCACCACUCGAUGGUUCUUUACUCAGAUGCCACUUCCUG